AACGUAGGUGGCGAGCGUUAUCCGGAUUCAUUGGGCGUAAAGAGCUUGUAGGUGGCGGCGUAAGUUGGACGUGAAAUCGCCCGGCUCAACCGGGCGGGGUCGUUCAAUACUGCGCGGCUGGAGGAGGUCAGAGGGAAGUGGAAUUCCUGGUGUAGCAGUGAAAUGCGUAGAUAUCAGGAGGAACACCUGCGGUGUAGACGGCUUACUGGACCAUGACUGACGCUGAGGCACGAAAGCGUGGGGAGCAAACAGG
rnacentral:rRNA from 1 species